ACAUCCCUUAUCGAACAAUCACAAUUCGAUAGAUACCUGUCGAACUGUAGAUGUUUAAUAUGUACCCUAUCGAAUUUUGGUUGUUUGAUAAGGUG
rnacentral:pre_miRNA from 1 species